CAGAAAUAUUUGAACUCCUGAGGCCCUUGAGACCAAAGAAAAGGGGCUAAAUCUCCUGGGAAACCAGCUUGAGGGCAAAGAAAGACUGGUGGUUAUUCACCUCAAUGGGCCUCACAGGAGGGCCAUUGGCAGGCCAUGAAUGUCAUUGUCACCUCAGACAAAAAGGACCCAGAGGCCUAAGGGAAAUAGUAAGCAGGAAUUUGCAGGUCAGCCUAGGAAUUGGCAGAGGGAACUGGAAUCUGAAUUACUCUAACCUGUACAGAGAUCAAGACUCCCCCCACCUCUGUCAGAGAAGGAUAAACAGAACUCUGGAGUCUUCAGAGGGUUAUGUAAGAAGGGUUCCCUAGAAGACUUUGAAAACACAGAUCUUAGGGAAAUUAGGGAUCAUGCCUUUCCCUGUUGGAAAUAUGUUUGGAUGGUAAUAAAUACCUUCAAGAAAAAAAAAA